rnacentral:rRNA from 1 species
AGAGUUUGAUCCUGGCUCAGAACAAACGCUGGCGGCGUGCCUAACACAUGCAAGUCGAACGUGAAAAUUCACUUCGGUGAAUGAGUAAAGUGGCGCACGGGUGAGUAACGCGUGGAUAAUCUGCCCUUCAGUCUGGAAUAACUCAUCGAAAGGUGGGCUAAUACCGGAUAAUGCUGUUUUCACCUUGGUGAGACAGCCAAAGAGGGCCUCUAUUUAUAAGCUCUUGCUGGAAGAUGAGUCCGCGUACCAUUAGCUAGUUGGCAGGGUAAUUGCCUACCAAGGCGACGAUGGUUAGCUGGUCUGAGAGGAUGAUCAGCCACACUGGAACUGAGAUACGGUCCAGACUCCUACGGGAGGCAGCAGUGAGGAAUCUUGCGCAAUGGGGGAAACCCUGACGCAGCAACGCCGCGUGAGUGAGGAAGGUCUUCGGAUCGUAAAGCUCUGUCGGGUGGAAAGAAAGGCAUGGAGGCUAAUACCUUCCAUGCUUGACGGUACCACUAGAGGAAGCACCGGCUAACUCCGUGCCAGCAGCCGCGGUAAUACGGGGGGUGCAAGCGUUGUUCGGAAUUAUUGGGCGUAAAGAGCGUGUAGGCGGCUUGAUAAGUCAGAUGUGAAAGCCCUGGGCUUAACCCAGGAAGUGCAUUUGAAACUGUCUUGCUGGAGUAAGGGAGGGGGAAGUGGAAUUCCUGGUGUAGAGGUGAAAUUCGUAGAUAUCAGGAGGAACACCGGUGGCGAAGGCGACUUCCUGGCCCUAUACUGACGCUGAGACGCGAGAGCGUGGGUAGCAAACAGGAUUAGAUACCCUGGUAGUCC